rnacentral:rRNA from 1 species
AUGAACGCUGGCGGCGUGCCUCAUCCCUGCCAGUCGCGCGAACAGACGAGGAGCUUGCUCCUCUGACGUUAGCGGCGGACGGGUGAGUAACACGUGGAUAACCUACCUAUAAGACUGGGAUAACUUCGGGAAACCGGAGCUAAUACCGGAUAGUAUAUUGAACCGCAUGGUUCAAUAGUGAAAGACGGUUUUGCUGUCACUUAUAGAUGGAUCCGCGCCGCAUUAGCUAGUUGGUAAGGUAACGGCUUACCAAGGCGACGAUGCGUAGCCGACCUGAGAGGGUGAUCGGCCACACUGGAACUGAGACACGGUCCAGACUCCUACGGGAGGCAGCAGUAGGGAAUCUUCCGCAAUGGGCGAAAGCCUGACGGAGCAACGCCGCGUGAGUGAUGAAGGUCUUCGGAUCGUAAAACUCUGUUAUUAGGGAAGAACAAAUGUGUAAGUAACUAUGCACGUCUUGACGGUACCUAAUCAGAAAGCCACGGCUAACUACGUG